rnacentral:lncRNA from 13 species
GCUUUCUCUUUCUCUGCCGAAUAAAUCGCUCUUUGCUAGACUCUUUGGGUCCGAUAUUUGCUGGAACGGCAAGCUCACCAGCAGGGCCCCUUCCUUAUUCUUGGGGCAAAGGGAGCCCAAGAACCUCGGGCACAUCCAGUCGGGGAGGGAGCUGAGCCCCGUCCUGUCCCACCACCCACUUAUAAGAGGGCACUCUCCUCCCAAAUUACGCCUUUUCAGUUAAAAAUGUCCUAACUCACCCCAGAAAGAGUCCUGUGUGCCUUCUGUUCUACCUGGAAUCAGAGUUUCCCAGUGGGGAGCGUGCCAUCUUCCCGUGUUGGUGGAGAGUUUUGCGGUCUGCCAUGGCUUUCCUGGAUGUUACAGUGAAUGUGCUGAAAACUGUAGGUAAAUGCUUGUUUAGGCUCCACCCUGAUUCGGAAAGUCUGGAUGCAUCCAGGGCAUUGUUAUGCAUGUGACUGUGUGUUUGUGUUAGUUCAGGCCCCCGGAGGAG